AAGGAUCAUUAUUGAAGAUGGGAGUGGCUGUUGCUGGUUCUCCGGAGCAUGUGCACGCCCUUCCUACAAACUUUUACCCACUUGUGCACCUUUGUAGACUUGGAUACCCCUCAGUUUGUCACUUGUGUCAAAUUGGAUAUGAGAGCUGCCUUAGGGCUUCUCUCUCAUUCCCGAGUCUAUGUAUUUUACACACACUAUAAAAAAUUAUUAGAAUGUCUUUGGCUUUUCUUGAAAAAGGAAGCUUUAAAUUUAAUACAACUUUCAACAACGGAUCUCUUGGCUCUC
rnacentral:misc_RNA from 1 species